rnacentral:rRNA from 1 species
AUGCCCAAUACCAAGUUGAGCUUUUCCUGUAUAGCUACUGCAGCUGUUGUCAUCCUAACCCUAGGCAGUAGAACCAGUAGUUGCUUGCAAUUUACUUAUCCCAACUUCAACACAAUCAAUAGGGAUGAUUUCAGUUUCAGCCCAGGCUCAACAAUUGCAGACGGUGCCUUGCAGAUCACACCAAGUACCGGAAACAUGCGCCACCGGUCGGGGAGAGUGUUCUAUGCAAGGGAAACCAUCAAGCUGUGGAACAAAAAGCUCAUGAUGCCCACAUCGUUCAGGACAGAUUUCCUGCUCAGCAUCCUCCCCGGUCAGAAUGGGGCUGGAGAAGGUAUGGCAUUUGUGCUCACAAACAAUCCAUCAUUGCCUAGCAACAGUAGUGGCCAGUGGCUUGGCAUAUGCAAUGACACGGCAGAUGGCACGAAGACGGACCCAGUUGUUGCUGUCGAGUUUGACACGAGGAAGAGCUAUGAGGAUGACCUUGACGGCAACCAUAUCGGCAUCAACAUCAACAACGUCAAAUCUAUUCGGUAA